CCCUUAGAUGUUCUGGGCCGCACGCGCGCUACACUGAUGCAUUCAACAAGUUUCUCUUCCUUGGCCGAGAGGCCUGGGCAAUCUUUUGAACGUGCAUCGUGAUAGGGAUAGAUUAUUGCAAUUUUUAAUCUUGAACGAGGAAUUCCUAGUAAACGCAGUUCAUCAAACUGCAUUGAUUACGUCCCUGCCCUUUGUACACACCGCCCGUCGCACCUACCGAUUGAAUGGUCCGGUGAAGCCUCGGGAUUGUGGCUGGUGUCCUUUAUUGGGUGCUAGUCGCGAGAACUUGUCUAAACCUUAUCAUUUAGAGGAAGGUGAGGUCGUAACA
rnacentral:rRNA from 1 species